rnacentral:rRNA from 1 species
AUUGAACGCUGGCGGCAUGCUUUACACAUGCAAGUCGAACGGUAACAGGCCGCAAGGUGCUGACGAGUGGCGAACGGGUGAGUAAUGCAUCGGAACGUGCCCAGUCGUGGGGGAUAACGCAGCGAAAGCUGUGCUAAUACCGCAUACGAUCUAUGGAUGAAAGCGGGGGACCGUAAGGCCUCGCGCGAUUGGAGCGGCCGAUGUCAGAUUAGGUAGUUGGUGGGGUAAAGGCUCACCAAGCCAACGAUCUGUAGCUGGUCUGAGAGGACGACCAGCCACACUGGGACUGAGACACGGCCCAGACUCCUACGGGAGGCAGCAGUGGGGAAUUUUGGACAAUGGGCGCAAGCCUGAUCCAGCAAUGCCGCGUGCAGGAAGAAGGCCUUCGGGUUGUAAACUGCUUUUGUACGGAACGAAAAGGUCUGGGUUAAUACCCUGGGCUGAUGACGGUACCGUAAGAAUAAGCACCGGCUAACUACGUGCCAGCAGCCGCCGUAA